GACGAACGCUGGCGGCGUGCUUAACACAUGCAAGUCACGGGGGCCCGCAAGGGCAACCGGCGAACGGGUGCGUAACACGUGAGCAACCUGCCUUAGUGUGGGGGAUAGCCGGCCCAACGGCCGGGUAAUACCGCAUACGAUUCUCGAGGGGAGUCCCUUGGGAAGGAAACCUCGGUUUAUCCCUGGGGCACUGAGAGGGGCUCGCGGCCUAUCAGCUAGUUGGCGAGGUAACGGUUCACCAAGGCGACGACGGGAGCUGGUCUGAGAGGAUGGCCAGCCACAUUGGGACUGAGAGACGGCCCAGACUCCUACGGGAGGCAGCAGUGGGGAAUCUUGCGCAAUGGCCGAAAGGCUGACGCAGCGACGCCGCGUGUGGGAUGACGCCUUUCGGGUGUAAACCACUGUU
rnacentral:rRNA from 1 species